rnacentral:rRNA from 1 species
UACACUCCUACGGGAGGCAGCAGUGGGGAAUUUUGGACAAUGGGCGAAAGCCUGAUCCAGCAAUGCCGCGUGAGUGAAGAAGGCCUUCGGGUUGUAAAGCUCUUUUGUCAGGGAAGAAACGGUGAGAGCUAAUAUCUUUUGCUAAUGACGGUACCUGAAGAAUAAGCACCGGCUAACUACGUGCCAGCAGCCGCGGUAAUACGUAGGGUGCAAGCGUUAAUCGGAAUUACUGGGCGUAAAGCGUGCGCAGGCGGUUUUGUAAGUCUGAUGUGAAAUCCCCGGGCUCAACCUGGGAAUUGCAUUGGAGACUGCAAGGCUAGAAUCUGGCAGAGGGGGGUAGAAUUCCACGUGUAGCAGUGAAAUGCGUAGAUAUGUGGAGGAACACCGAUGGCGAAGGCAGCCCCCUGGGUCAAGAUUGACGCUCAUGCACGAAAGCGUGGGGAGCAAACAGGAUUAGAAACCCUAGUAGUCCCAUG